rnacentral:lncRNA from 1 species
GAAACGUUUAAUUGAAAGUACCAUGAAAAAGAAAACAAUGUCUGCUCUAGCCCGUUGAUGACACAAUUGAAAGAAGGAACUAACAAACAAAGAAGCCACCAAGCAGCCGCAACAUCACACAACACAACUGACGAAAUCCUCGAAGUGAUAUGACGCGCCAGUCCAAUUUCUACAAUGAGGAGUAGGCAGUGAUAUUCGUUCAUGUACUUUAUCACGUCUAUGGCAUCUGUAAGUGAUUCCAGACGUUUCAGAAACCCGGGAAACAGCGCUUGGACAGUGGAUUACUGAAAGGAAAAACACCCAGUUGGCAAUAUCAAAUGUUGAGUCAAUCAUAUAUGAUGACAAUGAAAAUGAAAAAUCCUUUCCACACUACCAUGUCUCACCACAACAGCAUGACAGCAGACAAUUUUAAUGCUGAAGCAAUUGUAAAGUUUCGAUGGACAUUUGAUGUUCAACCUGUAAAUGGAGAUUCUGCCCAAUGAGGAAAAGGUGAUAGAAAUGCUUAUAGCUGCUUCUGUCUCCUUGGUGUCACAGUUCAAGAUAUGGUUUAACUAUUUAUGUGUAGUUAUUUUUGUCUGUAAUUUUUUGUUAUAUGGUUGAGGCAACGUGAUCAUUUUUUUUUAGUGAAUCAAUCAAGGACUGUUAGAUCAAAAAUCUUUCUGAGCAACCGGCGUAUGGAAGUAUAUAGUAGUUUGGUUCAAUUAAUUUAAAUUUUUAAAUAUUUAUUUGAGGUAAUAACAAGCAUACAUAAAUAAUUCAGAAUAAAAUUAACAAAAUUCUGAAUAAAUUAUACAUAUUUGUAAAUAAAUUAAAAUAAAUUAUGUUAAUUACA